UACAGAGGUCCCGAGCGUUGUUCGGAUUCAUUGGGCGUAAAGGGUGCGUAGGUGGCGCCGUAAGUCGGGUGUGAAAUUUCGGAGCUUAACUCCGAAACUGCAUUCGAUACUGCGGUGCUUGAGGACUGGAGAGGAGACUGGAAUUCAUGGUGUAGCAGUGAAAUGCGUAGAGAUCAUGAGGAAGACCAGUGGCGAAGGCGGGUCUCUGGGCUGACACUGACGCUGAGGCGCGAAAGCUAGGGGAGCGAACGGG
rnacentral:rRNA from 1 species